rnacentral:rRNA from 1 species
GAGCAUAUCCCAUAGCGGAGGAAAAGAAACCAACAGGGAUUGCCUCAGUAGCGGCGAGUGAAGCGGCAAGAGCUCAGAUUUGAAAUCGUGUUUCGGCACGAGUUGUAGAGUGUAGGCKGGAGUCUCUGUGGAGCGCGGUGUCCAAGUCCCUUGGAACAGGGUGCCUGAGAGGGUGAGAGCCCCGUGGGGUGCUGCGCGAAGCUUUGAGGCCCUGCUGACGAGUCGAGUUGUUUGGGAAUGCAGCUCUAAGCGGGUGGUAAAUUCCAUCUAAGGCUAAAUAUUGGCGAGAGACCGAUAGCGAACAAGUACUGUGAAGGAAAGAUGAAAAGCACUUUGAAAAGAGAGUGAAACAGCACGUGAAAUUGUUGAAAGGGAAGGGUAUUGGGCCCGACAUGGGGAGUGCGCACCGCUGUCUCUUGUAGGCGGCGCUCUGGGCGCUCUCUGGGCCAGCAUCGGUUCUUGCUGCGAGAGAAGUGGUGCCGGAAAGUGGCUCUUCGGAGUGUUAUAGCCGGUGCCGGAUGUCGCGUGCGGGGACCGAGGGCUGCGACAUCUGUCUCGGAUGCUGGCACAACGGCGCAAUACCGCCCGUCUUGAA